rnacentral:lncRNA from 1 species
GUUUUGGGAACCUUCUGGAGGGUUCCUGAACGGUUUUGGGAACCUUCUAGAAGGUUCUUGAACCGGGUUUUCACUGGUUUUUUCUGUUUGCUUUUUCUUUGUUAUUUUUCCUGUUUUUUUCUUUUUCUUUCUUCGUUUUUCUGUUUCUUUAUUUCAUCUUUCAAUUCCUUUUUCUUCUCUUUUUUUUUCUUUUUGUUCACAUUUCAAAUUAUGUUUGGGAGUUUCAAAAAAUCUUCCCAUUUCAAAUUCGCGCUUCCAAAUUUGUUCUCCAUUUCAAAAUUUGUUCUCAAUAUUCAAAAAUUGUUCAUGCUUUAAAAAAUUGUUCGCGCUCCUAAAUUUGUUCUCCAUUUCGAAAUUUGUUCUCAACAUUCAAAAAUUGUUCGUGCUUUCAAAAAUUGUUCGCGCUUCCAAAUUUGUUCUUCAUUUCAAAAUUUGUUCUCAACAUUCAAAAAUUGUUCGUGCUUUCAAAAAUUGUUCGAGCUUCCAAAUUUGUUCUCCAUUUCAAAAUUUGUUCUCAACAUUCAAAAAUUGUUCGUGCUUUCAAAAAUUGUUCGACCUUCCAAAUUUGUUCUCCAUUUCAAAAUUUGUUCUCAACAUUCAAAAAUUGUUCGUGCUUUCAAAAAUUGGUCGAGCUUCCAAAUUUGUUCUCCAUUUCAAAAUUUGUUCUCAACAUUCAAAAAUUGUUCGUGCUUUAAAAAAUUGGUCGAGCUUCCAAAUUUGUUCUCCAUUUCAAAAUUUGUUCUCAUCAUUCAAAAAUUGUUCGUGCUUUAAAA